rnacentral:rRNA from 1 species
UACAGAGGUCUCAAGCGUUGUUCGGAAUUACUGGGCGUAAAGCGCGCGUAGGCGGACCUGCAAGUCGGGGGUGAAAGCCCGAGGCUCAACCUCGGAACUGCCUUCGAUACUGCGGGUCUCGAGUCCGGGAGAGGUGAGUGGAAUUCCGAGUGUAGAGGUGAAAUUCGUAGAUAUUCGCAAGAACACCAGUGGCGAAGGCGGCUCACUGGCCCGAUACUGACGCUGAGGCACGAAAGCGUGGGGAGCAAACAGG